rnacentral:rRNA from 1 species
UACGUAGGGUGCAAGCGUUGUCCGGAAUUAUUGGGCGUAAAGAGCUCGUAGGCGGUUUGUCGCGUCGAAUGUGAAAACCCGGGGGCUCAACCCCCGGGCCUGCAUUCGAUACGGGCAGACUAGAGUUCGGUAGGGGGAGUCUGGAAUUCCUGGGUGUAGCGGGUGAAAAUGCGCAGGAUAUCAGGAGGAACACCGGUGGCGAAAGGGCGGG